rnacentral:rRNA from 1 species
GACGAACGCUGGCGGCGUGCCUAAUACAUGCAAGUAGGACGCAGUUGCGAACGGGUGAGUAACGCGUAGGUAACUGGCUAUUAGAGGGUGAUAACUAUUGGAAACGAUAGCUAAUAACGCAUACUAGUAGAUGGACCUGCGUUGUCUUAGGUAGUAGGUAGGGUAAUGGCCUACCUAGGCGACGCUACAUAACCGCGCUGGGAGGGGGAGCGGCCACACUGGGACUGAGGCACGGCCCAGACUCCUACGGGAGGGAGCAGUAGGGAAUCUUCGGAAAUGGGGGGAACCCUUGCCGAGCAAAGCCGCGUGAGUGAAGAAGGUUUUCGGAUCGUAAAGCUCUGUUGUGAAGGAAGCGGUACUUAACCAGAAAGGGACGGCUAACUACGUGCCAGCCGCCGCGGUAAUUC